rnacentral:tRNA from 1 species
GCAUUGGUGGUUCAGUGGUAGAAUUUUAAUCUUCCACGUGGGAGGCCAGGGUUCACUUCCCAGUCAAUGCA